rnacentral:rRNA from 1 species
AUUGAACGCUGGCGGCAGGCCUAACACAUGCAAGUCGAACGAGUGGCGGACGGGUGAGUAAUCUAUGGGAAACUGCCUGUUGGAGGGGGAUAACCACUGGAAACGGUAGCUAAUACCGCAUACCACUGGUUGCGCCCAUAUGGUUUUAGCUAGUAGGUGGGGUAAAGGCUCACCUAGGCGACAACCCCUAGCUGGUCUGAGAGGAUGACCAGCCACACUGGAACUGAGACACGGUCCAUACUCCUACGGGAGGCAGCAGUGGGGAAUAUUGCACAAUGGGCGCAAGCCUGAUGCAGCCAUGCCGCGUGUAUGAAGAAGGCCUUCGGGUUGUAAAGUACUUUCAGCGGAGAGGCGUUACCCGAAGAAGAAGCACCGGCUAACUCCGUGCCAGCAGCCGCGGUAAUAC